CUGGGGAGUACGGCCGCAAGGUUAAAACUCAAAUGAAUUGACGGGGGCCCGCACAAGCGGUGGAGCAUGUGGUUUAAUUCGAUGCAACGCGAAGAACCUUACCUGGUCUUGACAUCCACAGAACUUUCCAGAGAUGGAUUGGUGCCUUCGGGAACUGUGAGACAGGUGCUGCAUGGCUGUCGUCAGCUCGUGUUGUGAAAUGUUGGGUUAAGUCCCGCAACGAGCGCAACCCUUAUCCUUUGUUGCCAGCGGUCCGGCCGGGAACUCAAAGGAGACUGCCAGUGAUAAACUGGAGGAAGGUGGGGAUGACGUCAAGUCAUCAUGGCCCUUACGACCAGGGCUACACACGUGCUACAAUGGCGCAUACAAAGAGAAGCGACCUCGCGAGAGCAAGCGGACCUCAUAAAGUGCGUCGUAGUCCGGAUUGGAGUCUGCAACUCGACUCCAUGAAGUCGGAAUCGCUAGUAAUCGUGGAUCAGAAUGCCACGGUGAAUACGUUCCCGGGCCUUGUACACACCGCCCGUCACACCAUGGGAGUGGGUUGCAAAAGAAGUAGGUAGCUUAACCUUCGGGAUGGCGCUUACCACUUUGUGAUUCAUGACUGGGGUGAAGUCGUAACAAGGUAACCGUAGGGGAACCUGCGGUUGGAUCACCUCCUUACCUUAAAGAAGC
rnacentral:rRNA from 1 species